GGUGCAUAUGAUGUAUGUUAUUAGCGAUCAAAGCAUGACACGUUGUGAUUAGAAUUUGUACUACUGAUGCGCC